AUGUACGUCAGCACCACAAGGUGUGAAAAAAACAUCACGUGUACGACAAAGAUCUGGUCGUGUCUGGGGAAGGAAAGCCGAGGCGCUGACACGAGUGGCGGAACAUCAGGCUCUGGCAGGCAACCAACCUUGCUCACCAUGAGGUUUAAUGACCCUGGACAAUUAUGAGGGGUGUCCAAAAUUAUCUCGUCACUCCAUUAGACUGAUGUGUUGCAGCCACAAAUUACAGAAAAGAGGCUGCAACAUUUCUAAAAGCUCUGGGACUACAUCGAACCACAGUUCGAGAGCCAAAAGUUCCAAUCGAAUCAAAUGGAGGAACCUUGGAAAAGGGGCGAGUCUAUUUAUGUGCAGCAGGCUUGCUGGAAUUCCUUUUUCAACCAGGAGAAACACCAAGAAUGUAAAAGCAGCAGUGAAACACGGUGGUGGUAGCAUGAAUGUGCUGGGCUGCUUUGCUGCAGGUGCUCAUUACCUCGUCACCUUCUCCUUCAGGUCUGACGGCAUCCUCCAACUGCAGAGGCAGCCGAGCUUCAGCCUGACUGACCACGUACAGCUGAGAGAGACAGACAGAACAGAUUUAUUAAUGCAAUUGUUGAACCAUGGCGACACAAGUCUUAUCUGGUUCUGCUGUGAGUUUUACCCUCUCGACGUGCAGCUCCACGUCCUGCUGAGAGCAGCUCUCGAUCUUCUGCUCUACCUUCUGCACCACGGCCUCCACGUCCACUAUACUCUCCUUAGUGAUACUGGGGGGGCGAGAAGAGAGAGACGGAUCAACAGAUGAAUCGACAGACACACCUCGGCUGCUGCCUCUGAGCAGAUGAUUUAACAUAAACGAGCAUCCAAACAGAUUCUCUACUGUUCCAUAAUGCAAUAAAUCAUAUUUAUUAAA